rnacentral:rRNA from 1 species
GAUGAACGCUGGCGGCGUGCCUAAUACAUGCAAGUCGAGCGAACGGACGAGAAGCUUGCUUCUCUGAUGUUAGCGGCGGACGGGUGAGUAACACGUGGAUAACCUACCUAUAAGACUGGGAUAACUUCGGGAAACCGGAGCUAAUACCGGAUAAUAUUUUGAACCGCAUGGUUCAAAAGUGAAGGACGGUCUUGCUGUCACUUAUAGAUGGAUCCGCGCUGCAUUAGCUAGUUGGUAAGGUAACGGCUUACCAAGGCAACGAUGCAUAGCCUACCUGAGAGGGUGAUCGGCCACACUGGAACUGAGACACGGUCCAGACUCCUACGGGAGGCAGCAGUAGGGAAUCUUCCGCAAUGGGCGAAAGCCUGACGGAGCAACGCCGCGUGAGUGACGAAGGUCUUCGGAUCGUAAAACUCUGUUAUUAGGGAAGAACAUAUGUGUAAGUAACUGUGCACAUCUUGACGGUACCUAAUCAGAAAGCCACGGCUAACUACGUG